rnacentral:misc_RNA from 1 species
GAUGAAGAACGCAGCGAAAUGCGAUAAGUAGUGUGAAUUGCAGAAUUCAGUGAAUCAUCGAAUCUUUGAACGCACAUUGCGCCCCUUGGUAUUCCAUGGGGCAUGCCUGUUCGAGCGUCAUUUGUACCUUCAAGCUUUGCUUGGUGUUGGGUGUUUGUCUCGCCUUUGCGUGUAGACUCGCCUCAAAACAAUUGGCAGCCGGCGUAUUGAUUUCGGAGCGCAGUACAUCUCGCGCUUUGCACUCAUAACGACGACGUCCAAAAGUACAUUUUUACACUCUUGACCUCGGAUCAGGUAGGGAUACCCGCUGAACUUAAGCAUAUCAAUAAGCGGAGGA